GUAGGGAAUAUUGGUCAAUGGACGAAAGUCUGAACCAGCCAUUCCGCGUGCAGGAAGAAGAUUCUAUGGAUUGUAAACUGCUUUUAGCAGAGAAGAAACGCCUUCAUUGAUGAGGGUUUGACGGUAUCUGCGGAAUAAGCACCGGCUAACUCCGUGCCAGCAGCCGCGGUAAUACGGGGGGUGCAAGCGUUAUCCGGAAUCACUGGGUUUAAAGGGUGCGUAGGCGGGAAAUUAAGUCAGUGGCGAAAGUCUGUUGCUUAACGAUAGAAUUGCCGUUGAUACUGAUUUUCUUGAAUUGGGUUGAGGUUAGCGGAAUGUGACAUGUAGCGGUGAAAUGCAUAGAUAUGUCAUGGAACACCAAUUGCGAAGGCAGCUAGCUGGGCCUUGAUUGACGCUGAGGCACGAAAGCGUGGGUAGCGAACAGGAUUAGAUACCCUGGUAGUCC
rnacentral:rRNA from 1 species